rnacentral:rRNA from 1 species
ACGAACGCUGGCGGCGUGCUUCACCCCUGCACGUCGAACGGAAAGGCCCUGCUUUUGUGGGGUGCUCGAGUGGCGAACGGGUGAGUAACACGUGAGUAACCUGCCCUUGACUUUGGGAUAACUUCAGGAAACUGGGGCUAAUACCGGAUAGGAGCUCCUGCUGCAUGGUGGGGGUUGGAAAGUUUCGGCGGUUGGGGAUGGACUCGCGGCUUAUCAGCUUGUUGGUGGGGUAGUGGCUUACCAAGGCUUUGACGGGUAGCCGGCCUGAGAGGGUGACCGGCCACAUUGGGACUGAGAUACGGCCCAGACUCCUACGGGAGGCAGCAGUGGGGAAUAUUGCACAAUGGGCGGAAGCCUGAUGCAGCAACGCCGCGUGCGGGAUGACGGCCUUCGGGUUGUAAACCGCUUUCGCCUGUGACGAAGCGUGAGUGACGGUAAUGGGUAAAGAAGCACCGGCUAACUACGUG